rnacentral:rRNA from 1 species
UACAGAGGUCUCAACCGUUGUUCGGAUUCAUUGGGCGUAAAGGGUGCGUAGGCGGUCGUGCAAGUCGGAUGUGAAAUCUCAGGGCUCAACCCUGAAACUGCAUUCGAUACUGCGCGGCCAGAGUGCUGGAGGGGAGACUGGAAUUUACGGUGUAGCAGUGAAAUGCGUAGAUAUCGUAAGGAAGACCAGUGGCGAAGGCGAGUCUCUGGACAGCAACUGACGCUGAGGCACGAAGGCCAGGGGAGCAAACGGG